GAGCCGUGCGGUGAGUAUAAAACAAACUAUUCUUUCGCCUUUUAUUAAAGAAUACCGUGUGCUCGCCACCAGGGCCGAUCCUGAUAUUUUAAGGGCCCUUAAAAAUAACUUAAAAU